rnacentral:rRNA from 1 species
UACGUAGGGUGCGAGCGUUAAUCGGAAUUACUGGGCGUAAAGCGUGCGCAGGCGGUUCGGUGUGUCGGUGGUGAAAGCCCCGGGCUUAACCUGGGAAUGGCCAUGGAAACUGGCGAACUGGAGUGUGGCAGAGGGGGGUGGAAUUCCGCGUGUAGCAGUGAAAUGCGUAGAGAUGCGGAGGAACACCGAUGGCGAAGGCAGCCCCCUGGGCUAACACUGACGCUCAUGCACGAAAGCGUGGGGAGCAAACAGG